rnacentral:tRNA from 1 species
GCUAGCGUGGCAGAGCCCGGUCAAAUGCAAAAGGCUUAAGCCCUUUACCCAGAGGUUCAAGUCCUCUCCCUAGCU